rnacentral:rRNA from 1 species
UACGGGGGAGCAAGCGUUGUUCGGAUUUACUGGGCGUAAAGGGCGCGUAGGUGGCGCUCCAAGUCCGUGGUGAAAGCUCGAUGCUCAACAUCGAGUCGGCCACGGAGACUGGAGGGCUCGAGCACUGUAGGGGCAGAUGGAAUUCCGGGUGUAGCGGUGGAAUGCGUAGAGAUCCGGAAGAACACCGGUGGCGAAGGCGGCAUCCUGGACCAACACUGACGCUGAUGAGCGAAAGCCAGGGGAGCAAACGGG